rnacentral:misc_RNA from 1 species
AAAUUAUAGAACCAACUAGCUCCUAGGUGCACCAUAUAACAUCGUUCAUUUGGUGUUGAAGCUCAUCUGUGUGCACAUUUUGGUUGUUUAUAGGUCACUAAUUUGUUUUGGAUAAAGAGGAAAAUGGUCUAGAGAUUGUAUAAAUAUCCAAAUUUAACAGGAAUUCAAUUUUGAAUUUAAUUGUACAGGCAGAAGGAAUUUUUAGAAUU